rnacentral:rRNA from 1 species
UUGUCCUUAGUUACCAGCACGUUAUGGUGGGCACUCUAAGGAGACUAGCCGGUGGACAAACCGGAGGAAGGUGGGGAUGACGUCAAGUCAUCAUGGCCCUUACGGCCUGGGCUACACACGUGCUACAAUGGUCGGUACAAAGGGUUGCCAAGCCGCGAGGUGGAGCUAAUCCCAUAAAACCGAAUCGUAGUCCGGAUCGCAGUCUGCAACUCGACUGCGUGAAGUCGGAAUCGCUAGUAAUCGUGAAUCAGAAUGUCACGGUGAAUACGUUCCCGGGCCUU